UGAUGCAGCAACGCCGCGUGAGUGAUGAAGGUUUUCGGAUCGUAAAGCUCUGUCUUUGGGGAAGAUAAUGACGGUACCCAAGGAGGAAGCCACGGCUAACUACGUGCCAGCAGCCGCGGUAAUACGUAGGUGGCGAGCGUUAUCCGGAUUUACUGGGCGUAAAGGGAGCGUAGGCGGAUGAUUAAGUGGGAUGUGAAAUACCCGGGCUCAACUUGGGUGCUGCAUUCCAAACUGGUUAUCUAGAGUGCAGGAGAGGAGAGUGGAAUUCCUAGUGUAGCGGUGAAAUGCGUAGAGAUUAGGAAGAACACCAGUGGCGAAGGCGACUCUCUGGACUGUAACUGACGCUGAGGCUCGAAAGCGUGGGGAGCAAACAGGAUUAGAUACCCCGGUAG
rnacentral:rRNA from 1 species